CCUUUAUACACACCACCCGUCACUCCUACCGAUUGAAUGGCUCAGUGAGGCUUCCGGACUGGCCCAGAGAGGUCGGCAACGACCACUCAGGGCCGGAAAGUUAUCCAAACUCGGUCAUUUAGAGG
rnacentral:rRNA from 1 species